CCUACGGGAGGCUGCAGUGGGGAAUAUUGGACAAUGGGCGAAAGCCUGAUCCAGCCAUGCCGCGUGUGUGAAGAAGGCCUUCGGGUUGUAAAGCACUUUCAGUGGGGAAGAAAGCCUUGGGGCUAAUACCCUCGAGGAAGGACAUCACCCACAGAAGAAGCACCGGCUAACUCCGUGCCAGCAGCCGCGGUAAUACGGAGGGUGCGAGCGUUAAUCGGAAUUACUGGGCGUAAAGCGCGCGUAGGCGGUCUGAUAAGCCGGUUGUGAAAGCCCCGGGCUCAACCUGGGAACGGCAUCCGGAACUGUCAGGCUAGAGUGAAGGAGAGGAAGGUAGAAUUCCCGGUGUAGCGGUGAAAUGCGUAGAGAUCGGGAGGAAUACCAGUGGCGAAGGCGGCCGUCUGGACUGACACUGACGCUGAGGUGCGAAAGCGUGGGUAGCAAACAGGAUUAGAUACCCCAGUAGUC
rnacentral:rRNA from 1 species